rnacentral:piRNA from 1 species
UAGGUGCUGAACUGCAAUCAAAAAAAAAAGU